rnacentral:rRNA from 1 species
AUUGAACGCUGGCGGAAUGCUUUACACAUGCAAGUCGAACGGCAGCACGGACUUCGGUCUGGUGGCGAGUGGCGAACGGGUGAGUAACAUAUCGGAACGUAUCCAAUAAUGGGGGAUAACGAGUCGAAAGAUUCGCUAAUACCGCAUACGCCCUACGGGGGAAAGCUAGGGACCUUCGGGCCUGGCGUUGAUGGAGCGGCCGAUAUCUGAUUAGCUAGUUGGUGAGGUAAAGGCUCACCAAGGCGACGAUCAGUAGCUGGUCUGAGAGGACGACCAGCCACACUGGAACUGAGACACGGUCCAGACUCCUACGGGAGGCAGCAGUGGGGAAUUUUGGACAAUGGGCGCAAACCUGAUCCAGCCAUUCCGCGUGAGUGAAGAAGGCCUUCGGGUUGUAAAGCUCUUUCGCAAGGGAAGAAAACUUAUCCUCUAACAUAGGAUGAGGUUGACGGUACCUUGAUAAGAAGCACCGGCUAACUACGUGCCAGCCGCCGCGGUAA